rnacentral:rRNA from 1 species
AACAUUGAGCCUUGAUGUGUAGGAUAGGUGGGAGGCUUUGAAGCGUGGACGCCAGUCUGCGUGGAGCCAACCUUGAAAUACCACCCUUUAAUGUUUGAUGUUCUAACGUUGGCCCCUUACCGGGGUUGCGGACAGUGUCUGGUGGGUAGUUUGACUGGGGCGGUCUCCUCCCAAAGCGUAACGGAGGAGCACGAAGGUUAGCUAAUCCUGGUCGGACAUCAGGAGGUUAGUGCAAUGGCAUAAGCUAGCUUGACUGCGAGCGUGACGGCGCGAGCAGGUGCGAAAGCAGGUCAUAGUGAUCCGGUGGUUCUGAAUGGAAGGGCCAUCGCUCAACGGAUAAAAGGUACUCCGGGGAUAACAGGCUGAUACCGCCCAAGAGUUCAUAUCGACGGCGGUGUUUGGCACCUCGAUGUCGGCUCAUCACAUCCUGGGGCUGAAGUAGGUCCCAAGGGUAUGGCUGUUCGCCAUUUAAAGUGGUACGCGAGCUGGGUUUAGAACGUCGUGAGACAGUUCGGUCCCUAUCUGCCGUGGGCGCUGGAGAAUUGAGGGGGGCUGCUCCUAGUACGAGAGGACCGGAGUGGACGCAUCACUGGUGUUCGGGUUGUCAUGCCAAUGGCACUGCCCGGUAGCUAAAUGCGGAAGAGAUAAGUGCUGAAAGCAUCUAAGCACGAAACUUGCCCCGAGAUGAGUUCUCCCUGAGACUUUAAGUCUCCUGAAGGAACGUUAAAGACGAUGACGUUGAUAGGCCGGG